rnacentral:misc_RNA from 1 species
GAAAUGCGAUAAGUAGUGUGAAUUGCAGAAUUCAGUGAAUCAUCGAAUCUUUGAACGCACAUUGCGCCCCUUGGUAUUCCAUGGGGCAUGCCUGUUCGAGCGUCAUUUGUACCCUCAAGCUCUGCUUGGUGUUGCGUGUUUGUCCCCGUCUCCGCGCGUGGACUCGCCCCAAAGUGAUUGGCAGCCGGCGUACUGGUCCCGGAGCGCAGCACAUGUCGCGCAAACGAGUGCCUUGGUACGGCGGCGUCCAUAAGCCCCUCUCUCACGCUCUUGACCUCGGAUCAGGUAGGGAUACCCGCUGAACUUAAGC